UCAAGAAUAUUCCUCAAUGGGCGAAAGCCUGAAGGAGCGAUGCCGCGUGAACGAUGAAGUACUUCGGUAUGUAAAGUUCUUUUGCAAGGGAAGAAUCUAUGACUUAACCUUGCGAAUAAGGGGUUGCUAACUCUGUGCCAGCAGCAGCGGUAAUACAGAGACCCCAAGCGUUAUUCGGAUUUAUUGGGCGUAAAGAGUGCGCAGAUGGCUUUCUAAGUUCGCGGUUAAAUCCUGAAGCUCAACUUCAGAACCGCCGUGAAUACUGGAAAGCUAGAGGACGGAAGAGGUCAACGGAAUUGCCAGUGUAACGGUAAAAUGUGUUAAUAUUGGCAAGAACACCAGAUGCGAAAGCGGUUGACUAGUACGCUCCUGACAUUGUUGCACGAAAGCGUGGGUAGCGAAUGGG
rnacentral:rRNA from 1 species